UACGAAGGGGGCUAGCGUUGUUCGGAUUUACUGGGCGUGAAGCGCGCGUAGGCGGGUCGCUAAGUCAGGGGUGAAAUGCCGAGGCUCAACCUCGGAACUGCCUUUGAUACUGACGACCUGGAGUUCGGGAGAGGUGAGUGGAAUUCCGAGUGUAGAGGUGAAAUUCGUAGAUAUUCGGAGGAACACCAGAAGCGAAGGCGGCUCACUGGCCCGAUACUGACGCUGAGGCGCGAAAGCGUGGGGAGCAAACAGG
rnacentral:rRNA from 1 species